AGUGAACGCUGGCGGUAGGCCUAACACAUGCAAGUCGAACGGCAGCACAGUAAGAGCUUGCUCUUACGGGUGGCGAGUGGCGGACGGGUGAGGAAUACAUCGGAAUCUACUUUUUCGUGGGGGAUAACGUAGGGAAACUUACGCUAAUACCGCAUACGACCUACGGGUGAAAGCAGGGGAUCUUCGGACCUUGCGCGAUUGAAUGAGCCGAUGUCGGAUUAGCUAGUUGGCGGGGUAAAGGCCCACCAAGGCGACGAUCCGUAGCUGGUCUGAGAGGAUGAUCAGCCACACUGGAACUGAGACACGGUCCAGACUCCUACGGGAGGCAGCAGUGGGGAAUAUUGGACAAUGGGCGCAAGCCUGAUCCAGCCAUACCGCGCGGGUGAAGAAGGCCUUCGGGUUGUAAAGCCCUUUUGUUGGGAAAGAAAAGCAGCAGGUUAAUACCCCGCUGUUCUGACGGUACCCAAAGAAUAAGCACCGGCUAACUUUGUG
rnacentral:rRNA from 1 species